AUUAGCCUCUAUAUCAUUAUAAUCCUGAUUACCUGAAUAGAAACCCUAGAUCUAGCAAACCAUCCUUCCAUCAAACAAAUUUUUGCCAAGCUGAACAAUAGUCUUGUUCAACUUGUUUACUGUUUACCGUUUUGCUAUCUAUAUUUACUACUUUAUAAACUAUUAGCCUAGCUUAAUCGUAUAACUAUUAGAUCUUUUGUGUGCCCUAGCUCCCUGUGGAUUUGAUCCCUAAGUACUACAACUCGACCUCUUAUUUGAGAGAGUAUAAAUCACUCCUUAGUGUAAUUUGAGUGAUAUCAAGCAGGUGCGUGAUUGAUUCUUCUUCGUUACAUCUCUUGCAAAGGGAAGAGACUGGGAUAUUGCGAAUAGCAAAAUGUUCUCCUACUGGUAGACCAUCAUGUAGGGAUUUCCGGAUAAAAACUUUGAUCCUUUUUAUAUCAAUUACACUAAUAUCUUCUUUAUUUAUAGUUGGGCAUUUUAUUUGUUAACUUGGUUAGAUCAGUUAUUCGUUUUGAUUUGAUUCCAAAAAUUUAAAUAUUUGUAAAGUUUCUGAUCGAAACAAAUAGUAAAAUGUAGUAUCCGUAAAAAUAAAUAAAUAUUUUUUUUUGAAAAGUCAAAUAUUCGAUCUAGUUUGUAUAUUUAUAGAUAUGUAAUAUAAUUAUAUAUACAAGUCAUUAUAUUUAUACAAAUCUUCUUAUAUAAAUUUGCUUCUUUUACUCUUUUAAAUUGUUUUUGAAAUUUUAGUUUUGAGCCAUUACACACCCACUCUAAUUUUUGUGUUACACCAAAUAUUAACAUAUGAAUAUUCUUAUUUGGCUCAUCAAUGUUGGAUUAUUUGAUUUUGAUUUGUGAUUUGCAUUAAAAUGUUUGCUUCUAGUUAAUCAUAUUAUUCAUGUUAUUUUAUAUGAUGUCAUGUUUAUUUAACUUUUAUUACUACAUAUUAUUUUUAAAUUUUAUUUUAUUUUUAAUAUAAUUAACUAAUAGAAUUGGAUAAUCUAAAAAUACCUAAACGAAUUCCGAAUUUAUGGAUUUCUAAAACUUUUUGGAUUGAAACGGAUCAUAAACUUAACUAUUUGAUUCGAAUGAAACAUAUCACUUAUACUAAAAUUUUGGAUAUCCAAUUGGCCAUGCCUAUUGAUUAUGAAUGUAUUAGAAAGUAUGUAAACAACUAUUAGAACUGAGCCUUAUAAUCUUUUUCUUUUAAUUUGUUUCCAAACACUCUUAACUUUGGUGAUAAGUGAAAUUAAAAACCAAUGAGAGAAGAGCAGUGGGGUUAGUUUGACUGACCCCUAGCCAAUAAAAUCAGCCAAUGGGCGAUAGAGAGAUAUAGAGACCUCGUAAGAACCGCCUCCUUCGCCAUUUGUAUCAUCUCUCUAUAAAACCAUUAAGCCAUCAACCUCUCACUGCAUUCAACAAAUCAUUCAAAUAUUUUUUUCUAAAGAACCCCAAAAAAAGACUUGGCAGAGAAUCAAUGGAACGUGGAGUUCCUCUAUCUCACUAUCAACUACCCAACUCCAACUCUGCUCAUUAAUGAAAAUACAACUACGAUGAACCUGUGGCUCCGUUUCGUUUUAUGGUAAAGUAAAGUAAAAUAUGUUACUUUUUUUUUGGUAAAAAUGUUAAGUAUUUAAAAUAUGUUACUUGUCUAUAACUUGGUUGGGCGUAUCAGACAUACGCUUGAGAGGUGUUUUGUUCAGAAGUGCCUUAAGAUUUUUUUCCAGUAGAUGAAAAUUUUAGUUAGUGCUAUUGGAGCUCAUCAUAUGGGUGAUGUAAAUUUGCUCUCGUUUUAAUGACAGUUGCGCAUUUGUUAUGAAAUAUAUUAGUAUAUAUUCUUCUAACAACAUCUCUGUAAGAGUUAUUGAGGAAAACAAUAUGAUGACAGCAGGCCCGUCUUAUGUAAAUUAUGGACCCUGGCUUAGAUUUUUUUCUCCAAAAUUAUAGCUAUAUUUAACAAAUUUGGACCCUAAUUUCUUAAAGAAUUACUUUCAGAAGAAAAAGUGACAGGAAAAAUAUUCGUGAGUACAUCAAAACGGGUUGUUACUUUCACAAAGCCAUUAGCUGCUUGUUUGUGUGUGUGUGUUUGCCGCUGAUUUCAUGUUUGCUUUUGUCAUGUUCUGUGGAUAAUGAUAUAUAAUUAGUGGGAAUUGGCUGCUUGGGCCGUCGUGAAAGUUGAAGUAUCUUAAUAUUAUUUGUAACGGUUUGAAGUGGUAUUUCAAUGAAUUGUUCUGGAUUAAGUUACUAAUAUUAAACUGUGCGUAUAUGUAGCAUCUAUUCUCUAGUUGGAUACUGUGGAAUAAUUAUCAUGUUCAUCACUUAUAUUUAAAGAAAGUCGAAAUAGGAAACGGUGGCCCAUGAGAGAAUGUGUUCCAUCCGUAAUAUGUGUAAUGAAUACGUUCUUCAUUUUAACAGUAUUUCUCUCGGUGGGAUGCUCUGUUUUACGUGUCAUGUGACCUAUGUCUAGAAAGUCUGAAUGUCAAUUCAUGUGCCAUAAGUUUAUUACAAUGAUACUUAUGAAACAAUGCACAUUGUAAACAUAUAUUAGACGUUCGCUAUGGAGAUGUGCUACAAACUGGUGUUGUUUCAGCCUUGUAAAGGGGUUUGUAAUUGUAAGUGGUUAUUUUUUUGGGUUUAUUAAAACCAAAUAGUUAAUGUAUUUAAAAUAGCUACAAUAACAGAACGUGUAUUUUCUUUUUCAUUAUCAAUACGGGGUCCUUAAAGUUGAAA